GGCUUUUUGUAAUUAAUUUAAAGUUAGGCCUGCCCCCUGAUUAAUUAAAGGGCCGCGGUAUUUUGACCGUGCUAAGGUAGCAUAAUCAUUAGUUUCUUAAUUAGAAGCUGGAAUGAAUGGUUUAAUGAAAAAUUAACUGUCUCAAUUUAAAUUUUAUUGAAUUUUAUUUUUAAGUUAAAAAGCUUAAAUAUUUUUAAAAGACGAGAAGACCCUAUAGAGUUUAAUAAAAUGCUAAUUUUUUAUUUUUAGAAUUAUUAAUAAAAUUUUAUUAUUUUAUUUGAUUGGGGCGAUAAAAAAAUUAAAAUAACUUUUUUUAUAAAGUACAUUAAUUUAUGAAUUAUUGAUCCAUAGAUAGUGAUUAUAAGAUUAAAUUACCUUAGGGAUAACAGCGUAAUUUUUUUUUAGAGUUCAAAUUAAAAGGAAAGAUUGCGACCUCGAUGUUGGAUUAAAUUUAAUUUUUGGUGUAGAAGCUAAAAAUUUAGGUCUGUUCGACCUUUAAAAAUUUACAUGA
rnacentral:rRNA from 1 species